ensembl:ncRNA hpRNA:CR46342 hairpin RNA:CR46342
GCAGGACGAGUGCAAACUGCGCGGAACCACGGGUGGCAGGGUGCAGCUAAUCCUAGUCAGCGGCCUGCCUCUGGCUGGACAAUCUCAGAAUCUGAUGCUGGCGGGCAACGAGUUUACGGCACGUAUUGUGCAGCAAAGAGAAGCCGGAAUUGCAGCUGCAACCGCAGCCGGAGCCGGAACCGGUACUCCAUCGACAGGAGCAACCCCACUCAAAAUCAACGUACUUGGCGGAUCUCAGGGCAAUAGCAAUAAAAUGCGUGCUAUAUUCAAUAGCGCCAGCAGCAUUCAGCAUGAGAACGGCGUGACCACCAUUGUGCCAGCCUCCUCGUUGGCAGCCAGCAAUCAAACAGCUGCCAUGAACGCAAUUGCGCCGAGCACGGUGACUAUAACGCCGUCAUCGGUGGGCAAAAAGGUGACGGUGCCAAAUCCCAAGUUUAUCCUGCUGAAGCCAGCCAAAUUUGUGGGACCAGCAUCGGCAAACGAGGUAAACACAGCGACUCUGACGGCGGAACCACAUGCUCCUCCCCCUCCACAAGCCAAAAUCGUAUAGGCGAUUGAAAACGAAAGAGAGAGAGAUAGAUAGGAGAUGUCUAGCGUCUCGCAGGGAAUAUAGUAACCACCCUGUUACGUUUGUUAUACACUAAGCUAUUUAACGGCGACCGAAAGCCAAGCUCCCUUCCUUAGCCGCAGGUUCCAUAUCAUUCAAGAGUAAUAUUUAACAUUUCAAGGAACACCUUAGCCUAGACGUUACUUUAGCCUAGACUAGAGCACUGAACUACAGUAUGGGCGAAUGAGUCCACGCAAAACUCACACCCACACAGAGCCAUACAAAUUGUAACAAUUAUUAGUGUGUUAAUUGUUUAAUGUAGCGCCCCGGUAGCCUGUAGUUUGACUCCAACAAGUUCGCUCCUGGCGCUUCACAGGCGCUGGAAAAUCUUAACCGCCGGAAGUCACUUCCGCUGGCUUUGAUUUUCCAGCGUCAGUCAAGCGGAAGGAGGGACUUGUUUGAGUCCAACUACAGGAUACUGGGGGGCCCUUAAGAACAGAAUGGGGAAUGAGUCCACGCAAAACACACACCCACACACACACAGAACCAUACAAAUUGUAACCAUUAUUUGAGUGUUAAUUGUUGACUGUAGCGCCCUGGUAGCCUGUAGUUUGACUCCAACAAGUUCGCUCCUGGCGCUUCACAGGCGCUGGAAAAUCUUAACCGCCGGAAGUCACUUCCGCUGGCUUUGAUUUUCCAGCGUCAGUCAAGCGGAAGGAGGGACUUGUUUGAGUCCAACUACAGGAUACUGGGGGGCCCUUAAGAACAGAAUGGGGAAUGAGUCCACGCAAAACACACACCCACACACACACAGAACCAUACAAAUUGUAACCAUUAUUUGAGUGUUAAUUGUUGACUGUAGCGCCCUGGUAGCCUGUAGUUUGACUCCAACAAGUUCGCUCCUGGCGCUUCACAGGCGCUGGAAAAUCUUAACCGCCGGAAGUCACUUCCGCUGGCUUUGAUUUUCCAGCGUCAGUCGAGCGGAAGGAGGGACUUGUUUGAGUCCAACUACAGGAUACUGGGGGGCCCUUAAGAACAGAAUGGGGAAUGAGUCCACGCAAAACACACACCCACACACACACAGAACCAUACAAAUUGUAACCAUUAUUUGAGUGUUAAUUGUUGACUGUAGCGCCCUGGUAGCCUGUAGUUUGACUCCAACAAGUUCGCUCCUGGCGCUUCACAGGCGCUGGAAAAUCUUAACCGCCGGAAGUCACUUCCGCUGGCUUUGAUUUUCCAGCGUCAGUCGAGCGGAAGGAGGGACUUGUUUGAGUCCAACUACAGGAUACUGGGGGGCCCUUAAGAACAGAAUGGGGAAUGAGUCCACGCAAAACACACACCCACACACACACAGAACCAUACAAAUUGUAACCAUUAUUUGAGUGUUAAUUGUUGACUGUAGCGCCCUGGUAGCCUGUAGUUUGACUCCAACAAGUUCGCUCCUGGCGCUUCACAGGCGCUGGAAAAUCUUAACCGCCGGAAGUCACUUCCGCUGGCUUUGAUUUUCCAGCGUCAGUCAAGCGGAAGGAGGGACUUGUUUGAGUCCAACUACAGGAUACUGGGGGGCCCUUAAGAACAGAAUGGGGAAUGAGUCCACGCAAAACACACACCCACACACACACAGAACCAUACAAAUUGUAACCAUUAUUUGAGUGUUAAUUGUUGACUGUAGCGCCCUGGUAGCCUGUAGUUUGACUCCAACAAGUUCGCUCCUGGCGCUUCACAGGCGCUGGAAAAUCUUAACCGCCGGAAGUCACUUCCGCUGGCUUUGAUUUUCCAGCGUCAGUCGAGCGGAAGGAGGGACUUGUUUGAGUCCAACUACAGGAUACUGGGGGGCCCUUAAGAACAGAAUGGGGAAUGAGUCCACGCAAAACACACACCCACACACACACAGAACCAUACAAAUUGUAACCAUUAUUUGAGUGUUAUUUGUUGAAUGUAGCGCCCUGGUAGCCUGUAGUUUGACUCCAACAAGUUCGCUCCCGGCGCUUCACAGGCGCUGGAAAAUCUUAACCGCCGGAAGUCACUUCCGCUGGCUUUGAUUUUCCAGCGUCUGUCGAGCGGAAGGAGGGACUUGUUUGAGUCCAACUACAGGAUACUGGGGGGCCCUUAAGAACAGAAUGGGGAAUGAGUCCACGCAAAACACACACCCACACACACACAGAACCAUACAAAUUGUAACCAUUAUUUGAGUGUUAAUUGUUGACUGUAGCGCCCUGGUAGCCUGUAGUUUGACUCCAACAAGUUCGCUCCUGGCGCUUCACAGGCGCUGGAAAAUCUUAACCGCCGGAAGUCACUUCCGCUGGCUUUGAUUUUCCAGCGUCAGUCGAGCGGAAGGAGGGACUUGUUUGAGUCCAACUACAGGAUACUGGGGGGCCCUUAAGAACAGAAUGGGGAAUGAGUUGUUCUGCGUGGACUCAAACACCCACACACAUACACAAACACAGAGCCAUACAAAUUGUAACCAUUAUUAGUGUGUUAAUUAUUGAAUGUAGCGCCCUGGUAGCCUGUAGUUUGACUCCAACAAGUUCGCUCCCGGCGCUUCACAGGCGCUGGAAAAUCUUAACCGCCGGAAGUCACUUCCGCUGGCUUUGAUUUUCCAGCGUCUGUCGAGCGGAAGGAGGGACUUGUUUGAGUCCAACUACAGGAUACUGGGGGGCCCUUAAGAACAGAAUGGGGAAUGAGUUGUUCUGCGUGGACUCAAACACCCACACACAUACACAAACACAGAGCCAUACAAAUUGUAACCAUUAUUAGUGUGUUAAUUAUUGAAUGUAGCGCCCUGGUAGCCUGUAGUUUGACUCCAACAAGUUCGCUCCCGGCGCUUCACAGGCGCUGGAAAAUCUUAACCGCCGGAAGUCACUUCCGCUGGCUUUGAUUUUCCAGCGUCUGUCGAGCGGAAGGAGGGACUUGUUUGAGUCCAACUACAGGAUACUGGGGGGCCCUUAAGAACAGAAUGGGGAAUGAGUUGUUCUGCGUGGACUCAAACACCCACACACAUACACAAACACAGAGCCAUACAAAUUGUAACCAUUAUUAGUGUGUUAAUUAUUGAAUGUAGCGCCCUGGUAGCCUGUAGUUUGACUCCAACAAGUUCGCUCCCGGCGCUUCACAGGCGCUGGAAAAUCUUAACCGCCGGAAGUCACUUCCGCUGGCUUUGAUUUUCCAGCGUCUGUCGAGCGGAAGGAGGGACUUGUUUGAGUCCAACUACAGGAUACUGGGGGGCCCUUAAGAACAGAAUGGGGAAUAAGUUGUUCUGCGUGGACUCAAACACCCACACACACACACAAACACAGAGCCAUACAAAUUGUAACCAUUAUUAGUGUGUUAAUUAUUGAAUGUAGCGCCCUGGUAGCCUGUAGUUUGACUCCAACAAGUUCGCUCCCGGCGCUUCACAGGCGCUGGAAAAUCUUAACCGCCGGAAGUCACUUCCGCUGGCUUUGAUUUUCCAGCGUCUGUCGAGCGGAAGGAGGGACUUGUUUGAGUCCAACUACAGGAUACUGGGGGGCCCUUAAGAACAGAAUGGGGAAUAAGUUGUUCUGCGUGGACUCAAACACCCACACACACACACAAACACAGAGCCAUACAAAUUGUAACCAUUAUUAGUGUGUUAAUUAUUGAAUGUAGCGCCCUGGUAGCCUGUAGUUUGACUCCAACAAGUUCGCUCCCGGCGCUUCACAGGCGCUGGAAAAUCUUAACCGCCGGAAGUCACUUCCGCUGGCUUUGAUUUUCCAGCGUCUGUCGAGCGGAAGGAGGGACUUGUUUGAGUCCAACUACAGGAUACUGGGGGGCCCUUAAGAACAGAAUGGGGAAUGAGUUGUUCUGCGUGGACUCAAACACCCACACACACACACAAACACAGAGCCAUACAAAUUGUAACCAUUAUUAGUGUGUUAAUUAUUGAAUGUAGCGCCCUGGUAGCCUGUAGUUUGACUCCAACAAGUUCGCUCCCGGCGCUUCACAGGCGCUGGAAAAUCUUAACCGCCGGAAGUCACUUCCGCUGGCUUUGAUUUUCCAGCGUCUGUCGAGCGGAAGGAGGGACUUGUUUGAGUCCAACUACAGGAUACUGGGGGGCCCUUAAGAACAGAAUGGGGAAUGAGUUGUUCUGCGUGGACUCAAACACCCACACACACACACAAACACAGAGCCAUACAAAUUGUAACCAUUAUUAGUGUGUUAAUUAUUGAAUGUAGCGCCCUGGUAGCCUGUAGUUUGACUCCAACAAGUUCGCUCCCGGCGCUUCACAGGCGCUGGAAAAUCUUAACCGCCGGAAGUCACUUCCGCUGGCUUUGAUUUUCCAGCGUCUGUCGAGCGGAAGGAGGGACUUGUUUGAGUCCAACUACAGGAUACUGGGGGGCCCUUAAGAACAGAAUGGGGAAUGAGUCCACGCAAAACACACACCCACACACACACAGAACCAUACAAAUUGUAACCAUUAUUUGAGUGUUAAUUGUUGACUGUAGCGCCCUGGUAGCCUGUAGUUUGACUCCAACAAGUUCGCUCCUGGCGCUUCACAGGCGCUGGAAAAUCUUAACCGCCGGAAGUCACUUCCGCUGGCUUUGAUUUUCCAGCGUCUGUCGAGCGGAAGGAGGGACUUGUUUGAGUCCAACUACAGGAUACUGGGGGGCCCUUAAGAACAGAAUGGGGAAUGAGUCCACGCAAAACACACACCCACACACACACAGAACCAUACAAAUUGUAACCAUUAUUUGAGUGUUAUUUGUUGAAUGUAGCGCCCUGGUAGCCUGUAGUUUGACUCCAACAAGUUCGCUCCCGGCGCUUCACAGGCGCUGGAAAAUCUUAACCGCCGGAAGUCACUUCCGCUGGCUUUGAUUUUCCAGCGUCUGUCGAGCGGAAGGAGGGACUUGUUUGAGUCCAACUACAGGAUACUGGGGGGCCCUUAAGAACAGAAUGGGGAAUGAGUUGUUCUGCGUGGACUCAAACACCCACACACAUACACAAACACAGAGCCAUACAAAUUGUAACCAUUAUUAGUGUGUUAAUUAUUGAAUGUAGCGCCCUGGUAGCCUGUAGUUUGACUCCAACAAGUUCGCUCCCGGCGCUUCACAGGCGCUGGAAAAUCUUAACCGCCGGAAGUCACUUCCGCUGGCUUUGAUUUUCCAGCGUCUGUCGAGCGGAAGGAGGGACUUGUUUGAGUCCAACUACAGGAUACUGGGGGGCCCUUAAGAACAGAAUGGGGAAUAAGUUGUUCUGCGUGGACUCAAACACCCACACACACACACAAACACAGAGCCAUACAAAUUGUAACCAUUAUUAGUGUGUUAAUUAUUGAAUGUAGCGCCCUGGUAGCCUGUAGUUUGACUCCAACAAGUUCGCUCCCGGCGCUUCACAGGCGCUGGAAAAUCUUAACCGCCGGAAGUCACUUCCGCUGGCUUUGAUUUUCCAGCGUCUGUCGAGCGGAAGGAGGGACUUGUUUGAGUCCAACUACAGGAUACUGGGGGGCCCUUAAGAACAGAAUGGGGAAUGAGUUGUUCUGCGUGGACUCAAACACCCACACACACACACAAACACAGAGCCAUACAAAUUGUAACCAUUAUUAGUGUGUUAAUUAUUGAAUGUAGCGCCCUGGUAGCCUGUAGUUUGACUCCAACAAGUUCGCUCCCGGCGCUUCACAGGCGCUGGAAAAUCUUAACCGCCGGAAGUCACUUCCGCUGGCUUUGAUUUUCCAGCGUCUGUCGAGCGGAAGGAGGGACUUGUUUGAGUCCAACUACAGGAUACUGGGGGGCCCUUAAGAACAGAAUGGGGAAUGAGUUGUUCUGCGUGGACUCAAACACCCACACACACACACAAACACAGAACCAUACAAAUUGUAGCCUUACAAACAGAAACAAUUAUUUAUGUGUUAAGAGAACAUGUUUUUGUAAAGACUAAAUACAAAUGAAUAAAUUU